rnacentral:rRNA from 1 species
CACAUGCAGUCGACGACCUUCGGGUUAGUGGCGGACGGGUGAGUAACGCGUGAGAAUCUGCCCUCAGGAGGGGGAUAACAGUUGGAAACGACUGCUAAUACCCCAUAUGCCGAGAGGUGAAACGAAUUUUGCCUGGGGAUGAGCUCGCGUCUGAUUAGCUUGUUGGUGGGGUAAAAGCCUACCAAGGCUUCGAUCAGUAGCUGGUCUGAGAGGACGAUCAGCCACACUGGGACUGAGAUACGGCCCAGACUCCUACGGGAGGCAGCAGUGGGGAAUUUUCCGCAAUGGGCGCAAGCCUGACGGAGCAACGCCGCGUGAGGGAUGAAGGCCUUUGGGCUGUAAACCUCUUUUCUCAAGGAAGAAGAUCUGACGGUACUUGAGGAAUAAGCCACGGCUAAUUCCGUGCCAGCAGCCGCGGUAAUACGGGAGUGGCAAGCGUUAUCCGGAAUUAUUGGGCGUAAAGCGUCCGCAGGCGGCCGUUUAAGUCUGUUGUUAAAUCGUGGAGCUCAACUCCAUCACGGCAAUGGAAACUGUUCGGCUUGAGUAUGGUAGGGGCAGAGGGAAUUUCCGGUGUAGCGGUGAAAUGCGUAGAUAUCGGGAAGAACACCAGUGGCAAAAGCGCUCUGCUGGGCCAUUACUGACGCUCAUGGACGAAAGCCAGGGGAGCGAAAGGGAUUAGAUACCCCUGUAGUCCUGGCCGUAAACGAUGAACACUAGAUGUUGGGGGAAUCGACCCCUCCGGUGUCGUAGCUAACGCGUUAAGUGUCCGCCUGGGGAGUACGCACGCAGUGUGAAACUCAAGAAUUGACGGGGCCCGCACAAGCGGUGAGUAUGUGGUUAAUUCGAU